rnacentral:rRNA from 1 species
UAGUAAGAUCCCUUGAAGAACACAAGGUUGAUAGGUGAGGGGUGUAAGCAUGGUAACAUGUUCAGCUGACUCAUACUAAUAGAUCGAGGGCUUGACCA